rnacentral:rRNA from 1 species
CCACAGAAGAAUCCAGAGAUGGAUUUGUGCCUUCGGGAACUGUGAGACAGGUGCUGCAUGGCUGUCGUCAGCUCGUGUUGUGAAAUGUUGGGUUAAGUCCCGCAACGAGCGCAACCCUUAUCCUUUGUUGCCAGCGAUUAGGUCGGGAACUCAAAGGAGACUGCCAGUGAUAAACUGGAGGAAGGUGGGGAUGACGUCAAGUCAUCAUGGCCCUUACGACCAGGGCUACACACGUGCUACAAUGGCGCAUACAAAGAGAAGCGACCUCGCGAGAGCAAGCGGACCUCAUAAAGUGCGUCGUAGUCCGGAUUGGAGUCUGCAACUCGACUCCAUGAAGUCGGAAUCGCUAGUAAUCGUGGAUCAGAAUGCCACGGUGAAUACGUUCCCGGGCCUUGUACACACCGCCCGUCACACCAUGGGAGUGGGUUGCAAAAGAAGUAGGUAGCUUAACCUUCGGGAGGGCGCUUACCACUUUGUGAUUCAUGACUGGGGUGAAGUCGUAACAAGGUAACCGUAGGGGAACCUGCGGUUGGA